rnacentral:rRNA from 1 species
AAUAAACGAAAGUAUGACACAGAGAGGACACAUUUAAUUGAGCCCGUCAAAUUAAGUGCCAGCCGACGCGGUUAAACUUAAGGGCUGGUCUUUAUAAGUAAAAAGGCGUAAAGGAUGUGUAGGCCAAGAAACGAUCCAAGUAGGUAAAUGGAAUUUUUCUGGAGCGGUAGAAUGUGAGGAUAGAAAAUAGAACCCCUAAGGUAAAAACUAUUUACUACAAGGUAGGCUGAAACAUGAGAGUGUGGGGAGCAAACAGGAUUAGAGACCCUGGUAGUCCACACUGUGAACUUUGAAGAUGAUGCUUAGCAGACCCGAAAGGUAAAAUCUUCCGCCUGAGUAGUACGAUCGCAAGAUUAAAAUUCAAAAACUUUGGCUGUUCACUAUUUCGAUUAGAGGAGCGUGUAGUUUAAUUCGAUGGUCCGCGUGUUACCUUACCCCAACUUGAAUCUGUGACCGGUAUUGCAUGGCCGUCGUAAGUUCGUGUAUUAAGCUAGAAGGGACCCAACCCGGGCAUUUGCCCGGAGGAAGUCAGGUCUUAUGAUCCGAAUGUUGGGGGAUUUUAUGCGCUACAUUUUCUUAUAUAAUGAGAAACCUGGAAGGUGAAUCUCUAAAGUAAGAGUUCGGAAGGUCGCUGUAAGACGACUGGAAGUUGGAUUUAAUAGUAAUCGGAAAGUAGGGCGUUCCGGUGAAUUGGUACAAGUGUUAGCACAAA